UUUAAAUAGAUGUUAUUAGAAAUAAAUAUUACAAUGCUAUUUUCUCAUAUUUUUCCAUUGGUGAUUCCUCUUAUAUGCUUAAAAUGGCAAAUAUUGUUUUCUAAAAUGCAAAACAUAUUUACUUACAUUUAAUGUGAAACAUACUGGUAAUUUGAGGCUGUUGUACCUCUGAAUAGAGACUCCUAAAUUUAUUAAUUUUGGAUUAAUUAAAAUUUCUUUGUUUUAUAAGGAGAGAAGACACUAAACUUUUAUAGUUUAAUUGAAAAUGAAAUGUGCUUUGACCUUGGAGAAAAUGAAUGUAAAGAAUAACGAUAAUAGCAAAUAGUGAAAUGGAAAAUAAUAAUAAUAAAAGAGAACAAGGGAGUCAUACUUGAUGGAUAUAUUCAAUUUGUUUCAUGUGUAUGCGUUAUAUUUUUGUAUAUACUGUUUUUUAGGCAGUUGGAUUGUUGGAAGCUGUUUCUUUAUCCAUAAUUUUGAGGAUACCUUUAACUUUAGAAAUAAAAUAGGUUUUUGAAGGACAAAACUACUAGUAAUUAGAAGGAUUCCACAGCCUUAAUGAAAACAAAAAUAACAAAUAUUUAUACAGAAAUACAAACUUUCUAUUAAUGAUGUAAAGUAUAAUGAAAUUUCAGAUUGCUGUUUUUAUCAGAGAUGUGGUAUUCUGAAUCAACAAAUCAUUGGCUUUCGCUUUUAGAAUUCCCUCAUCUCUGCUGAAAAGCAUGAAACCACAUGGUAAAUAUCAAUAACAUCUUCAAAUUUCAACAAAUGUCAGGUCAGAAUGAAGUCCAGAUUUCCUGGCAAGAGAAAUAUAGCCAUGGAUGAUGUGAUAUCUUACGGAAUCAGGAGCAACUAAGGAACAGCAACUCCUUUAAAAAAGAAGAAAAACAGAGUCUUUUCUCAACAGAGAGAUGGAAUUUCAUGCCUGUCCUAUAACCCUCAUCAAAAGCCUGUGGCUGAGACUAAGAGACUAACGAGUCACCUCAAUCAGCCCACCACCACCAAGGCUCCAGGAACAUCAUAGUGGAAUUAGCAGAAAUCAUGUAAGCGCUGGAAGAUCAGAAAGAUUACUAUAAGAGGUUACCAUCUGACAUGACUAUAACACUGAAGGUCACUGUCACUGUGGUGACCUCCACAAAAUCUACUCGGCAUCAAGAGAGACAGAAUUCUGAUCAAAUUCUGAUAUUGAUGUGAUAGGGGAUCAUCAUGUCCCCAUAUGUGGUCCAUAAUAGGUUUUCAAUGAUCCAGUGAAUAGCCUGACACCAGCGGAUGUGUGGGCAACACUAACUGGACAUAAUGACUUGAGAGGGGGCGGGUGGAUGGGAGAGAAACACAAAGUCUGUGUUACAUUAGGACAGAGAUAUGAAAUUCUCAAAAGGAAGACAAAGUUUUUAAAUGGAAAGUCGUCAGAGAUUUGCAAAUGAACAUUUAAUUUUUGCUUCUGGGUUGAUAAGCUUGAACAUGGGAACUUAAUUGAACACCAUCUGUUGAAUUGGACACAUGAUAAAGAGCACUAGUCUAAUUUACCAUAUAUGAACCUGAG
rnacentral:lncRNA from 1 species